rnacentral:piRNA from 1 species
UGUCUCAGUUUUUGCAGUAAGGACAUGCCU